UACGGAGGAGGCGAACGUUGUUCGGAAUCACUGGGCUUAAAGCGCGUGCAGGCGGAGCGGUAGGCGUCCUGUGAAAGCCCCCGGCUCAACCGGGGAACUGCAGGGCGAACCAUCGCUCUUGAGGCAGGUAGAGGCGAGCGGAACUAUGGGUGGAGCGGUGAAAUGCGUAGAUAUCCAUGGGAACGCCGGUGGCGAAAGCGGUUCGCUGGGCCUGUGCUGACGCUGAGACGCGAAAGCGUAGGUAGCAAACAGG
rnacentral:rRNA from 1 species